rnacentral:rRNA from 1 species
CUAUGCGCCUUGCCAGCCCGCUCAGUCAGAGUUUGAUCCUGGCUCAGGAUGAACGCUAGCGGCAGGCUUAAUACAUGCAAGUCGAACGGUAAGUUGAGUAGCAAUACUUGACCUAGAGUGACGUACGGGUGCGUAACACGUAUGCAACCUACCCUUUACAGGCGGAUAGCUCGGGGAAACCCGAAUUAACCCGUCAUGGUAUCAUUGAAUGGCAUCAUUUGAUGAUUAAAACUCCGGUGGUAAAGGAUGGGCAUGCGUCUGAUUAGUUAGUUGGCGGGGUAAUGGCCCACCAAGACGAUGAUCAGUAGGGGAACUGAGAGGUUGAUCCCCACACUGGCACUGAGAUACGGGCCAG